ACGCAUCCAUAUCUACGCAUGUGCAAUGCUUUUCGACUUUCCCGCCCAUAAAGUCAUCUUUAUGGAUUUGUCUGCACACAACGGAAUAUGUUCCAAGGUAAAGUAUUACUUUAUCAACUUGUGAUUUACUUGUUAACUUGUAUAAUAUCAUAAACAACUUAUAUUUACUUUAUAUUAAACCGUUUGUGUGAACAUUAAUUUGCUGGAGCAUUUGCACUGCACAUUUCACUAUUAAAGAGGAGUAUGAAUAUUUCUUAUUUAACAAAAAAUAUCAACGUUAAGUAAAUAUCUUUUAACAUAAAAACACGAAGUAUAGAUAAAUUGUAGCAUACGUGUAAGUUGAUAUUAAGUUAACUGUCUGUGUUUUUACCUCAGGUAAACUCAGCAAGCUUUCAAAGUUACUUAAGAUGCUGGCGAUAAGUCUUGAGGUCUGAACAAUUUUACAGGACACCACCAUCGCUAAAAGCAAAGCGGCUCAAUUCUUUAAUGGAGAACAGCAGAGAUGUUGCACAGUAAGGGCAAGAACGCAGUACAAAGACACAAGAAAGUAUGUAAAACUAAAAAAAAAACAUUUAUUUUUAAAACCGAGCUGACUUAAACCACUAUAAUUUAUGACACUUGCAUUACAUGUGAACAGCCCCUACGCUAAUAGGAUUCUGUUUCUCUCUCCCUGUCUCAUCCUCGACCCUGAGGACAAUGAGACAAACAGACCCAGUUCCUGCUGCUGUGAAGGUCAUCACACCACUGAUCUACUGACCGUCCUUCUACGAGAUGCCCAGCCAAUGCCUGACCAGCAACCACCGGCGGAACCAGUUUAAUUCGCUUACCCGUUCACAUACCCCGAUAGUAUUUAUAUAUAUAUAAAUAUAUAUGUAUCUCUCUCAAGGGUUUUUCCCUGGACUAGCCAGGAGGGUUUUCUCCUAGGGGUUUUUUUUCAUCCCCUGGAGAGUCCACCACCUUUGGCUUAACCUACUACUUUACUGUAUAUGUUACAUUAUUACUAUGCUCGCUUUUCUAUGCUUUUUUUACAUUUAUUAAUGUAAAGCUGCUUUGAAACAAUUGGCAAUUGUCAAAAGCGCUAUAUAAAUAAAAUUGAAUUCAAUAUUUAAUGUUAUAUUUAAUUAGACUGAGUGUAUAUUUACAAACCAUAGUGACAUUGAGAUGAUUUCAUGGAUUACAUGUUGAAUUGUUGUAUUAUUUAUGUAAAAUUUUAUU